UGACCCGGGCGUGCUGCAUGCCUGCCGAGGUCUUUUCUCACCUGCUGAAGGCACCCUCUCUGCUCGUGUCUUGUCAGAUAGAGGUUUAUGAGGUUUUUUUACCCCGAUUUUUGGCGCUCAGACAAGCGCUCCCCUGCAGACUACUCUUUUCCUCCUUCCUAAGUGCCAACCCUCCGUGGCUGUGCCCUGCCUCCCGAUGCUGGCCGUGCGCCCACGAGGGGGUGCGCACGAGAGGCAGCUCCUCCUCCUCCUCUUCUUCUCCUUCUUCUUCUUUUUCUUCCCCGUCCGCUGCUCGGACUAAAUACGGCGGGGCUGAUGAGCCUGUGCGGUGUUCGCUUGCGCUCUCCUGCCCCCCGUUACUACCCCUCGCAUCUUUGAUCUUUCCAAGUUUAUACAUAUGUUUUUCUUUUAAUUACAUCAUGGCUAUCAUCGGGCCCUUUCUACAACUCCCACGUUGUUCGGUAGACACAGCGCAGUGUUUUUAGGAACCUAUAAAAGCCGAUAAUUUGCAUCCAGAGGCCAUGGUCGUAGGCAGCAUUCAGGCAAGCGAAACAACUGCCUCGAUAACUUUAUGGCCGGUACAUGCGCCGCAUCGUGUAGCGCGCUGUAGUGCUGCAGACGCGGAGGAGCGCGAGCCUGGCUCCUGCCUUCUCGUGCCUCCCUCGCAGGCUGCGCCGCGUGCACCGUUUCAUGAAGCCGUGGACGGGAGACGUCGUUAGGGCUAGAAACCUGGAGUCUCGCGUCCAGACCGCCUCUGCUGCCAGCGAGUUUCAGCUCGAGCGCCUGCCACGUGCUGCAGACCCCUUCCCUCCUCCCAAGCUUGAUCCUGGUUUUUCUCUGCUUUACCCCAACUUUUUGCACCCUGCUGGCAAGGUUUCUGAGGUCCUUUCCUUAUUGGCCUUAACAACUGCCUUAAGCAGCUUUGAAAAUCUCGCCGGGGAAGAGCCUACUCAUGGCCAGCCUGGCUGGGGGGGGGGGGAGACUGAGAUGCUCUGAAAGGGAGAAAACGUUCUCCCUCUUUAAAGGUGAAAUAAAGGCUUUAGUUUGGCAUUUGUUGUGUCA
rnacentral:lncRNA from 1 species